rnacentral:tRNA from 1 species
GCCUCUGUAGCGCAGUUGGUUAGAGCGCUGCACCGGAAUCGCAGGGCCGUAGGUUCAAUUCCUACCAGAGGAC